CGGGUAGGAGUAACGACGUGAGGGAAACCGUACGCCUCCAAAGAAGGGGGAACGAACAAGUUGGAAACGACUGCUAAUACCGCAUAAGCCCACGGCUCGGCAUCGAGCAGAGGGAAAAGGAGUGAUCCGCUUUGAGAUGGCCUCGCGUCCGAUUAGCUAGUUGGUGAGGUAACGGCCCACCAAGGCGACGAUCGGUAGCCGGACUGAGAGGUUGAACGGCCACAUUGGGACUGAGACACGGCCCAG
rnacentral:rRNA from 1 species